ACCCAAUGCAAAAGAAAAACACAUCGACAUCGACGUACUUAGCGUGUUCACCACUAUGCUUUCUCCUGUAGGGUUACCUAGACCUUAAAGCGUGUGGUAGUCAAAGCUUUAUUCUAUAGUUAAAGUGUGGCACGACUUGCAAUAGAACAAUGGAACCGUUGAAAAAACGCAAGAAGCGUGGACAUUACAAGAAAUACUUGAAUCCUGGUGCCAAGUUCUUCGUGCCUAGGUCUACAGAUUCAUCGGCGCGGCUCCGAAUGGCAGGUGCAGAAGCGAAAUCCCAGCCGGGCAGUGUUUCCUGCGAUCUUAACCUGGACGACAGCAUAAUGACGCACCGAGAAUGCAACGCGGAGGCGUCAACUGCGCCGGUCGACGCACAUUGCAUGGAAUAUUCCCAGGACGGUCGUGCAGCGUCUGCUAUAAACGAAUUCUCCAGCAGUAAUGUGCGCGGAUGUGUCUUUCCCGGAAAUGUCGAUUUGGUAGAACCUAACAAAGAUGCACAAGAGCAAGCCUCAGAAAAAAAGGACUUCAGCCAGCCAGACGCGCAACACGAAGAUUCUGGACAAGGGGAGCACUGCAGCCUGCCAGUUGCUCAAGACGAAGAAUCUGGACAAGGGGAGGACUUGAGCCAGCCAUAUGUUCAAGAGGAAGACUCGGAGAUUGAAGUUCCCUGUUUUUCGAAUUCUGCCUGCGGUCUGCUAGGUGAACUGUUUGGCGAAAUUGUUCAAGACAGUGUUGCCGUUUCGAAAGGUGAUAUUCUGCUCAUGGUCUUAAAAUUUGCUGUCCAGCACAGCUUGACAUUUUCAGCACUAAUGGAUUUGGUUGAAAUGAUUAACUUGUUUUUUGAAAGGCCAGUUCUUGCCCAUUCUCAGCACAUACUAAAGAAAAUAAUUGAAGGAUCUGGCACGCCAAUGGGUUUCCAUUUCUUUUGUCCAGAAUGUUCCUUGUACAUAGGUCGCGUUGAUCCAAGUUCGCCCUUUCAGUGCUCGCGAUGCAACCGCAACAUAUGUUUUUCAUUAGUCAACAAUGUUUGUUUUUUUGUACUUUUUGAUAUACCUUCGCAACUCCAAAAGGCACUGAAGGGAUGCGACUUCUUAGACCUGACAAAGCCUCUUGAAGCAAAAGACAGUUUUUCAGAUAUUUGGGAUGGAGACCUGUACCGUGAUUUUGUGGCCUCGACAGCAAAUGCUGGGCAUAGAAUUAGUUUUAUGUUAAAUGCAGAUGGCGCACCCCUUUUUAAAUCAAGUGGUACUGCAAUUUGGCCCAUUCAGUUGGUUGUAAAUGAACUGCCAGUCACACAAAGAAUGCAUAAAGUGAUUUUGGCUGCCUUGUGGUUUGGCAAGAAAAAGCCUGACAUGGUGCUCUUUCAGGAUGCAUUUGUUGAUUCUGUAAAUGACCUUUCUCAGAAAGGAUUCAGUCUUGAGCACACUGGCAGUAAAAAAAAUUUCAAGGCCUUCUGCAUUUGUUGCGCUGUAGAUUCAGUCGCCAGGGCACCAAUGCAGGGUGUAAUGCAGUUUAAUGCAUAUUACGGAUGCUAUUGGUGCCUUCAAAAGGGUGAAAGAGUUCUACGUUCCACAAAGUACCCAGUACAGCAAACGGUACAGGAAAGAACGGAGCUGCAAAUGAUGCAGGAUAUGCGAGAAGCUGUUGCUCAAGGCAGGCCCGUAAAUGGUGUCAGAACUGUGUCACCACUGAUCAGGUUGGAGCACUUUAAUAUAGUGUGGGGGUUCGUCCCUGGCUAUAUGCAUUGCAUAUUGCUUGGUGUUGCAAGGCAGUUCAUGGAACUGUGGUUGGAUGACACUAGUUGCAAGUUUUAUAUGGGAGCACAGCAAGGUGUCAUUGACACAAGAAUAAUGGCAAUCACUCCUCCUGCAAAUGUGAAAAGAAUGCCAAGGCCAACAAGGGAACGCAAAUUCUGGAAAGCAAAGGAAUGGGAGAAUUGGCUCCUGUUUUAUAGCUUGCCAGUUUUAGAGGGCAUAGCUGAUCGCUCAUGCAUACAACAUUGGGCCUGCCUGGUGGAAGCAUUGCAUAUCAUGCUGCAGAAAGAAAUCGCAUCGUCACACCUUACUCUUUGCGAAGAACUCUUACUAGAGUUUCAUGUUCGAGCUGAGCUGUUCUAUGGUAAAAGUUCCAUGACCUUUAACAUGCACCAACUAACUCAUAUUGGAAAGAGUGUGCACCAGUGGGGUCCUCUCUGGGCACACUCUGCAUUUCCAUUUGAAGCGGGUAAUGGUUGCCUAAAAAAGGCAGUGAAGUCAGCAAAUGGGAUCCCCCACCAAAUCUGCCGUAUGCUGCAAGUGGAGGAAACUAUUGAGGUUCUAUUGGCCACAGCUGCUGAACCAAGAGUUCUUGCUUACUGCAACUCGCUGGAUGCCAAGGAAACUCAGAAAACCCUCAAAGUGAUGGGAGAUGUUCGUUUGUUUGGAAGGGGUGUUCCAUUCUCUCUAUCAAGUAGGCUGUCUGAAGGUGCUAGUGAACUUGCCAACAGUGUGCAGUAUCCCCGAAUGCUCAAGGGAGGUGUUGUUUUCACUGGGAGAGAGUAUUUUGAAGAAAAAGAACUAAUAGUUCUGUAGUACAACUUAUUGAUAAUACCUAUGCAAUUAUUGAAAACAUAAUUUGCAAAAACCAAUCAGAAGCUUUUGUUGUUGUUAAGCCCUUGAAGUGCAAGCCCUUAAAGUACAGUCUAGUGACAAUGCAACACCUGCUAAAGGCUGUAGAAGAACUAUCAACGGAAAUUAUAAUUCCAGCUACAAAGAUUGCGACUGUUUGUGUGUUUUUAAAGACUCAAGGAAAUACCUACAUCUCGCCAGUACCAAGCUCAUUUACAAUGUAGCCAAUAAGAUGAAAAGGUGCAAUUAUGUGCCUCACUAUGUUAUUAGCAAUAUUGGUUUUCAGUUUCACCUGCGGAUUUUUUUACUGUGCCCCUGGUUGCAGAAAAGUGCCUGUUACUGCACGAAAAUUGAGCACAUGCUGGACGCCGUAGUUAAUGUCUUUGGAUUAGUUCUGACUUAGCCGAUCAAUGAGUUAGCGGUAAGAGGGAAAAUAGAGGAAUUCCAGAUCAAGCUACACAACAGGUAUUCGGCUUUAACUCAGGAAGAGGACCUUAGUGUUGAAGCAAUGAACGACAAUCUUGUGGGCAUCAUUAAGGAGUGUGCAAUGGGAGUCGGUGGUAACUCUGUUAGGCAGGAUACCAGUAAACUAUCGCAGGAGACAAACGAUCUGAUCAAGAAACGCCAAUGUAUGAAAGCCUCUAACCCUACAGCUAGAAUAGAACUGGCAGAACUUCCGAAGUUAAUCAACAAGCGUAAGACAGCUGACAUAAGGAAGUAUAAUAUGGAUAGAAUUGAACAUGCUCUCAGGAAUGGAGGAAGCCUAAAAACAGUGAAGAAACUGGGAAUUGGCAAUAAUCAGAUGUAUGCGUUAAGAGACAAAGCCGGCACUAUCACUACUAAUAUGGAUGAGACAGUACAAGUGGCUGAGGAGUUCCAUAGAGUUUUUACAGUACCAGUGGCACCCACGACGAUAAUGGAAGAGAAAAUAGUCUAGAGGAAUUCGAUAUCCCACAGGUAACGCCGGAAGAAGAAAGGAAAGCCUUGGGAUAUACGCAAAGGGGGAAGGCAGCAGGGGAGGAUCAGAUAACAGCAGAUUUGUUGAAGGAUGGUGGGCAGAUUGUUCUAGAGAAACUGGCCACCCUUUAUACGCAAUGCCUCAUGACCUCGAGCGUACCAGAAUCUUGGAAGAAUGCUAACAUAAUUCUAAUCCAUAAGAAAGGGGACGCCAAAGACUUGAAAAAUUAUAGACCGAUCAGCUUACUGUCCGUUGUCUACAAACUACUUACUAAGGUAAUCGCAAAUACAAUCAGGAACACCUUAGACUUCUGUCAAGAAAAGGACCAGGCAGGAUUCCGUAAAGGCUACUCAACAAUAGAUCAUAUUCUCACUAUCAAUCAGGUGAUAGAGAAAUGUGUGGAAUAUAACCAACCCUUAUAUAUAGCUUUCAUUGAUUACGAGAAAGCGUUUGAUUCUGUCGAAACCUCAGCAGUCAUGGAGGCAUUACGGAAUCGGGGUGUAGACGAACCGUAUGUAAAAAUACUGAAAGAUAUCUAUAGUUGCUCCACAGCCACCGUAGUCCUUCAUAAAGAAAGCAACAAAAUCCCAAUAAAGAAAGGCGUCAGGCAGGGAGAUACGACCUCUCCAAUGCUAUUCACAGUGUGUUUACCGGAGGUAUUCAGAGACCUGGAUUGGGAAGAAUUGGGGAUAAAAGUUAUUGGAGAAUACCUUAGUAACAUGCGAUUCGCUGAUGAUAUUGCCUUGCUUAGUGACUCAGGGGACCAAUUGCAAUGCAUGCUCACUGACCUGGAGAGGCAAAGCAGAAGAGUGGGUCUAAAAAUUAAUCUGCAGAAAACUAAAGUAAUGUUGAACAGUCUCGGAAGAGAACAGCAAUUUACAAUAGGCAGCGAGGCACUGGAAGUCGUAAGGGAAUACAUCUACUUAGGGCAGGUAGUGAUGGCGGAUCCGGAUCAUGAGACGGAAAUAAUCAGAAGAAUAAGAAUGGGCUGGCAUACGUUUGGCAGGCAUUCUCAGAUCACGAACAGCAGGUUGCCAUUAUCCUUCAAGAGAAAAGUGUAUAAUAGCUGUGUCUUACCACUACUCACCUACGGGGCAGAAACCCGGAGGCUUACGAAAAGGGUUCUACUCAAAUUGAGGACGACGCAACGAGCUAUGGAAAGAAGAAUGAUACGUGUAACGUCAAGGGAUAAGAAAAGAGCAGAUUGGGUGAGGGAACAAACGCGAGGUAAUGACAUCUUAGUUGAAAUCAAGAAAAAUAAGUGGGCAUGAGAACGACAUGUAAUGAGGAGGGAAGAUAACCGAUGGUCAUUAAGGGUUACGGAUUGGAUUCCAAGGGAAGGGAAGCGUAGCAGGGGGCGGCAGAAAGUUAGGUGGGCGGAUGAGAUUAAGAAGUUUGCAGGGACGGCAUGGCCACAAUCAGUACAUGACCGGGGUUGUUGGAGAAGUAUGGGAGAGGCCUUCGCCCUGCUGUGGACGUAACCAGGCUGAUGAUGAUGAUAAUGACUUAGUCUUUUUCCACCUCUUUGAGCACUGCUUGUCAGUACUAUAGACUUUUUCCUCAGCAUAAUAAUGCUCACUUUAAUUAACACAGUUGGCCAAUUUUGCAGUGCAAAAUGUAAGGAUCUUAUAGAAAGAAUAAGUGGUUAAAAUUUUAUAAUUUAAAUGAAUUAGAUAUCUGUUAUGGUUAUCUUGACGUCAUAUUUUUAUGAUUUUAGUAACACUACAAACCAUGCGAAAUUUUUUGAAUUGCGCAUUCACACACACUGUCCUGAAGGGACACGAAAUUAUACUAUGAGGGUAAUUUUGGCUUUUGCUUGUUGCACAUUAGGGAUGUGUGAUGUGUUUAUCAGCUUCAUUUGGAAAUAUCCACAUUUGCAGCUUUCUUGUAUAGCCUUCACCUUCUAUUCUCUUCGUUUAGCAUUAUGUAAAGUAGUCUAUAGAGCCGAUUGGGGCACACAUUUCGUGUGUAACACUCGUGAAACUGUUUGCUUUAUAGUUGAUUGGGGCACACAUUUCGUGUGUAACACUCGUGAAACUGUUUGCUUUAUAGCCGAUUGGGGCACACAUUUCGUUUGUAAUACUCGUGAAACUGUUUGCUUUAUAGCCGAUUGGGGCACACAUUUCAUUUGUAACACUCGUGAAACUGUUUGCUUUAUAGCCGAUUGGGGCACACAUUUCGUGUGUAACACUCGUGAAACUGUUUGCUUUAUAGCCGAUUGGGGCACACAUUUCGUGUGUAACACUCGUGAAACUGUUUGCUUUAUAGCCGAUUGGGGCACACAUUUCGUGUGUAACACUCGUGAAACUGUUUGCUUUAUAGCCGAUUGGGGCAAACAUAUCGUGUGUAACACUCGUGAAACUGUUUGCUUUAUAGCCGAUUGGGGCACACAUUUCAUGUGUAACACUCGUGAAACUGUUUGCUUUAUAGCCGAUUGGGGCACACAUUUCGUUUGUAACACUCAUGAAACUGUUUGCUUUAUAGCCGAUUGGGGCACACAUUUCGUGUGUAACACUCGUGAAACUGUUUGCUUUAUAGCCGAUUGGGGCACACAUUUCGUGUGCAACACUCGUGAAACUGUUUGCUUUAUAGCUGAUUGGAGCACACAUUUCGUGUGUAACACUCAUGAAACUGUUUGCUUUUAGGCAUCAUGACCAUUUGUGAAAUUAGUGUUCUUAUUGGAUUUUUUGUUUCAUGAAUAAAUGAUUGG